rnacentral:rRNA from 1 species
GACGAACGCUGGCGGCGUGCUUAACACAUGCAAGUCGAACGGAAAGGCCCUGCUUUUGUGGGGUGCUCGAGUGGCGAACGGGUGAGUAACACGUGAGUAACCUGCCCUUGACUUUGGGAUAACUUCAGGAAACUGGGGCUAAUACCGGAUAGGAGCUCCUGCUGCAUGGUGGGGGUUGGAAAGUUUCGGCGGUUGGGGAUGGACUCGCGGCUUAUCAGCUUGUUGGUGGGGUAGUGGCUUACCAAGGCUUUGACGGGUAGCCGGCCUGAGAGGGUGACCGGGCAGAGUGGGAAGGAGGGAGGCGGAGGAAGGGUAGGGGGGGAGGGAGGGGGAAGGAGGGAAGGAUGGGAGGAGGACGGAUGAGGCAAGGGGGGGGGGGGAGUGAGGGGCUGGGGGUGAAAAACCGCGUGCGGAUGGGAAGGAGGGUGAGGGACGGGAGGGGGAAAAGAAGCAGGUGCGAAAGAGGGGCAAGCAGCGGGGGUAAUAAAGGGACGAGCACACUGCGAAU